GCGCAGGUGACAGAGUGGUCAAUUGUACCUGGCUGUAAACCAGGCGGCCUUCGGCCUACGCAGGUUCGAAUCCUGCCCUGCGCA
rnacentral:tRNA from 2 species